rnacentral:rRNA from 1 species
UACGAAGGGGGCUAGCGUUGCUCGGAAUCACUGGGCGUAAAGGGUGCGUAGGCGGGUCUUUUAAGUCAGGGGUGAAAUCCUGGAGCUCAACUCCAGAACUGCCUUUGAUACUGAGGAUCUUGAGUUCGGGAGAGGUGAGUGGAACUGCGAGUGUAGAGGUGAAAUUCGUAGAUAUUCGCAAGAACACCAGUGGCGAAGGCGGCUCGCUGGCCCGAUACUGACGCUGAGGCACGAAAGCGUGGGGAGCAAACAGGAU